rnacentral:lncRNA from 1 species
UAUACUGAGCCAAAAAAGUUUAGCAACAAAAAUGUGAAAUUUUAUUUUAUUACAAAAUCAUAACAACAUAUAAUUUUAAUAAUAACAAAAUGGAAUUAUGACAUGUCAGAAGCAACAUGAAUGUUUAUGACUCACAUUCAUUAGGAUUUUCUUUGUAUGGAGCGCGGGAGGGUCAAAAUGCGGAAAUGAGCAUAGUGUUAUUCAAAAUCAAUUUUUCAGAUAUGCCCUAACUGCACCAAUGAAGGACUGGCAGGCACACCAGCAGCUGCCCUUUAAGUCAAUUUAUACUCUUGUGGCCGGAAAAAAAACUUGUCACGUGUUGACGUAAAGUGAAGGUAGCGCUCCUCCCUUGACGAUAAUUUUUUUUAGUCUACGAUUUAGCGACCUAUCCUAUGCAGUUGAAAUUUGUUGAUAUCUGUUUGUUUGUUUCUAAACGGUUGCCUUAUGCACAUUAAAUCGAGCCACGAUGUCAGCAACACUCAUUCCGGCAUCAACCAUUCCAAGAGUUUCCUGAAGGUCAAUUUCGGGGAGGCCUGGUUGACGCCCCAUGCAAUUUUUUCAAAGGUGUAUGUGUUUUUCUUACCAAUGGUAUGUUUCUGAACAUUAGUGAAAAAGAAAUUUUUAAUAUCGUUUUAAAAGUACAGGUACAGAAGGUAAAACAUCAAUUACACGUGCAAAGCUGAAAUGGCGCAAAAUCAAUCACCAGGAAAAAAGUAUGACAGUUUUAAAUUACAGGUAAAACUUAGGAUUAUAUCAAUGAUAUUUAAA